GAGAAUCCUUAUGAGUAGGCUGCUAGUUGGCAUCCACAUCCUUUUGUUGUUUUUCAUGUGUAGGAAUCUUAAUCUAAGUUGUAUUUGUUGAUCUAAAUAAAUAUAUUUUAAUUUAUAGAUGACUAGAUCGUUUUCAUAUAAUGAGUAUCUUGGGUUUGAGAUGCAUAUGAUCAGCUAUAGCGGAGAAGUGGUAAUUUAUUCGAGUCAUCUUGGGGAGG
rnacentral:lncRNA from 1 species